GUGCCAGCAGCCGCGGUAAUACAGAGGUGGCAAGCGUUGUUCGGAAUCAUUGGGCUUAAAGCGUGUGUAGGCGGACCAGUAAGUGUCUUGUGAAAACCCCCGGCUUAACCGGGGAAUUGUUAGGCAUACUGCUGGUCUUGAGGUAGGCAGGGGUGCUUGGAACUCUUGGUGGAGCGGUGAAAUGCGUAGAUAUCAAGAGGAACGCCUGUGGUGAAAACGGAGCACUGGACCUAUUCUGACGCUGAGACACGAAAGCGUGGGGAGCGAACGGGAUUAGAUACCCCGGUAGUCCACGCUGUAAACGAUGCCUACUAGGUGUUGGAAAUUCUGACAUUUUCAAGACCGAAGCAAAAGUGUUAAGUAGGCCGCCUGGGGAGUACGGUCGCAAGGCUAAAACUCAAAGGAAUUGACGGGGGCUCACACAAGCGGUGGAGCAUGUGGAUUAAUUCGAAGCAACGCGCAGAACCUUACCUGGGUUUGACAUGGUUGGAUGCCUUUCUUGAAAGAGAGUAGGCUGCCCGCAAGGGUGAAACUUUCACAGGUGCUGCAUGGCUGUCGUCAGCUCGUGUCGUGAGAUGUCGGGUUAAGUCCCAUAACGAGCGAAACCCCUGCUGUUAGUUACUACCGCCGCAAGGCGGGUACUUUAACAGGACCGCCGGUGUUAAACCGGAGGAAGGUGGGGAUGACGUCAAGUCCUCAUGGCCUUUAUGCCCAGGGCGUCACACGUGCUACAAUGGUGACUACAGAGCGACGCAAGACCGUAAGGUGGAGCAAAUCGCACAAAAGUCAUCUC
rnacentral:rRNA from 1 species